GGACGUUAGGUUAUUUGCGUGCUACUUGCUUAUUGCUUCGUAGGUGGAAACUGGAAAAUAUCUGGCGUUUAUUUAUUCAAUUAUUUAGUGGUCAUAUUUUCAUUGAGAGUCGUCAAAUGGAGGUUCCUCGAAGCCGAGUGGAACUGUUACCACACGCCCACGGGGAGAAAUAUUUCUCUCGAUAUUCACCGCCUUGAAAAUGUAAUUUUUGUCUUUUUUAUGUUGGUGAUUUCAUCCGAAACAUCGAUAGAGUUUUCCCGCUUCACUCUCUGAAUUUUGAAAAAAUGGACCCGAUGGGUAUGAGAAAGUUUAGUACUGAAGAAAAGGAUAUAUUGUGCAAGCUAGUACAUAAUCAUAAAUGCCUUGAAAACAAGCGAAGCGAUGUCACAUCAGUGACAGCAAAAAAGAAAGCCUGGGAGCAAAUUGCGACGGAAUUCAAUGUGCAAGAAUUCGUGCAAAAGGUGAAGUUUAGGUUCAAUAAGGAUGCAUGAUAAAAUAUCGCCAGGUUUGUACGCAAUUUUAAUCAAUAGUUUUAUCGGUGGUUAGAACUAAAGUACCUAUCUGAAAUAAUUUUUGUCUAAUGGCCUAACUUCACACUACAGAAAGGUAUGUUUGUAAAUUAAUACUGCUUUUUUUCAAACAACAUGUGUAUGCUACUUGCUACUGGCGUUAAAACGUACACUCCUACAUGUAUGCCAGUUGAAAUUAUAAAAAUCGUUAGAUAAUUCAUCAUUUUACCAAUCAUUAUGUAUGACCCCAAGCCGUGACCAAUUAUUUUGCUAGUACACAACUGAAUUGAAUUAAACAUGUGUCGGGGUAAUUAUUCCAUAUCACAUAUCCAAGUUUACUUCUUGAUCUUUAUGGCAUGAUCAUGUGUUACACGAUGCUUGAGUGUGUUGAAAGAGCCUGAAGAUAACAAAAACCUGGGUGCCACACUACAAACAAUCUCGGGGUCUUGUGGGAAUAAUUUUCUUGAUGUGCAUUUUACUAUUACCAUUAUAAUGCUACAAGUUUGUUUUGUCCAGGUUCCUUCAGUGUACUAAAUUAAAACAAGCAUCAUGUACCACAGAUACAAUAUAUACGGUACAAGAUCAUUCCAUCUGGAUGAAAGAAUAAACUUUGAUAUUACACUGAACGUUUACUCAAUAAACUUUUAUUUAUUUGUUAUUAUUUCAGCUUUAACUUUUAACAAUUAAGUAUUAAGAAAGUUGGACACACUAAAAUAUCUAGUGCAUAUUUAAUGAAUUAAGGAAUUUAUGCUUAUUUUUUUUAUAGCGCACUUAGUUGCACUAAAAAUAAGAAGAUGAGGAGGGAGCUGGCUGCAGAAUCCCGGUACAGAAUGGGAACAGGGGGUGGACAUUUCAUCCUCAGCAAGCCUGCACUUGUUGCAGCAGUGCCUCACUUAACGGAAAAUCUUGGUUUUCUCUGGGACAGUGAUGCUGUUGCGGUGGAAGAGGCAGCUGCUGUCCCAGAGGAGACUGCUGUGGAAGCUGUGCCUCAUGAUCCAGCUCCUGCUACUUCAACUGCACCAGUCCCUCAGACUUCUGCCCAAGGCAACUAUUUUAAUAUUGUAUUGUGUCUGUUCUCAUACUUCAUUCAAAAGUAGCAAAAUGUCCAGUGUACUGACUGAAAACAUUUGAGAAAUUAGAAAAUGGUGGUUUGAGUACUAAUGAUGCUUGAUUGUCCUGCAGAACACAAUUUUUCAUUCCUAAAAGUAAAUGGUCAGGAUUAAUACAUUAAAAUGCCACAUAUUUUAUUUAUUUUAUUUAUUUAAUAUUUGUUGCGUGCCUACCUACAGCUUAUGGCCUUGGGUGGUAGGCACGAUAAAAACAACACUGAUACAUACAGACAGAACAAAACAAUACAAAAUACAAGACAACAAAAAAAAUACACACAACAUGCAACAUACAAUUAGUAAAUAAUUUCUUUACAAAUUUAUAAUGCAGGAAAAAAAACUAACUUGAAACAAUAUAAUUAUUAACCACAAAAAAAAAUUAAGUUAUGUAUAGUUGUAUUUUUUUUAAUUUUAUUGUGCUAUCUAAUACAGGAAUAACCUUGCAUAUUUACUGUAAUUUUUAGUGAUUCUGAAUAAUAGAUCAUUUGUUUUACUUAACGUACAAAUUAAAGAUUGCUUAUGACUAUUGAAAGUAGGUAUUCUAAUUCCAGUAUUGUGAAGAAAAUAAUUACAAUUAAUUGUAUUUUUGUAACAAUUGUGUACAAAUAAUGCAUCAUAUCAUAAUCAUGAUCCCCGAUGAACUAACACAUUGCUAAGGGUAGAUGGCAAAAUAGUUUGUGUUGGUUGAUUGUGCAAAAGCCACUUAUUGUAAGUGAUAACAAACAGAAUAUUGUACAAGUAAUGGGGAAAAGGAGGGAUAGUACAUAAUGUAGUAGUUAUCAACAUUAGGAAUGACUGACACCAUCAAUCUGAAGUCUGGAUACAAAAUUACACUUUAUAAUGCAUGUUUCAAUCAUAUUUGAUUAAUACUACACCCAAUUCAGACUGAACAUUUAUAUGCAUUAGUUGAAUUCUAUCUCAUUCGUGCACUUAGAAAUUAUAGGCUGAUGUAUAAUUUUAAAUAAUUAACAUUUAUGUGAUAGAAUCUUCAAACCCAAACCAUAAAGGUGAAUACUAAUUGGCAUAUCUCAAUAAACUUCUUAAUUUAGAGGCAAAUUUGUUAAACAUUAAUCUCGCAGCAGAUGAUUAUAUUUUGUUUCUCAUCCUCACUAAACAUAUUUGCAUUCUUUGUAUAGGUAUUUCAGAAGACCCAGCUUCAGACAGUUCUUGUGAGGAUGUUGCUCCUACUCUUCAGCCUCGAUGCUCUACUACAGCUGCUAAUUCACACAAAACCUUUAUUUUGUAUUUGGGUGUAUGAUUUUCAAGAAUCAAUUGCAUGCCAAAUAAUGUUAGGUACAGUAGAACCCCGAUUUUGCGAACACGGAUUUAACGAAAACAGCGAUUUAACGUAAAGGUUUUCAGGAACCAUCAAAAAAACACCAAUUUAUUAAAAUAAUAAUAUAGAUUUCCAAAAAAUGAAAGUAAAUAGUAAUGUAAUCUUAUUAAAAAUUACACUUUGUGGUGUCAGUAAUAGAAUGGAGGUACUAUAUAUUAAUAUGUGCCUUUGCAUCAUCUGUCCAAAUACGAAAAAAUUAAAACAAAUUGUUCAAAUUGCUUAAAAACUGCGGGCGCUGUAACUGAAUUGCAUAGGUGCGUGCCAUUGCGCGUGCCUGGAUAGAUAGACUGUCCGCGACACAUGACGUCAUGAGGGGUUUCUUUGUCCGCAUCCCCCUCCCCCUUCUCCAUCCUUGGCUUGACUCACCACGUUAUCUUCCAAACACGCCCGCAUAGUAACAGUGCUAGCCAAUAAUCACACGUUUCCAAAUAUUCCCUUUCCCAUCCUCCAGGUUUUUUCAACUUGUGACCACGUCACACCAAUACGCCAUUAUCAUUAUUCUCUAUAGGUGUAAAAGUAACGAAAAAAAGCGUCCCCGUAUGUAUUCGUUACUAUAACAAUUAGUACUCGUUACUAUCUUAUCACUUUAUAUUACUCGUUACUUCUGAUACCGCAUAACAUGCUAUGUUAUGUUGCAGCAACGAAUCGAGACGUAUUGCGUACACAUACAGUAUGACGUCGCGUAAGUAAUAAUAAAUAGAAUAUAAACAAUUAACAAUAUUUGAUAAUUAACAGUUUUUGUUAACCAAGAAACAAUUAAAUCUCAUUAGAGCGGCUUUUUUUAUACCAUCUCUUUUAAGAUAAGAACAAAAAAAACCGUGAAAAUACGCGAUAAUAAAAACAUAUUUCUAAUUUGUAAACAAUACUUUCUUACGUUGUUUCUGUUCCAAUCUCAAACUUUGUCUACACACACAAUACCUUUAAUAAACAGUAAAAAAACUUUGACGACGAAUUUCCAAAUUAUACUUUACUUAAUAAACAAACAUCGUUCUUUGUAACGCAAAUUCAUCGAAUAUGCGCGCGUAUGCGUAAAACAUACGAAAAAUGCGAGUAACGAGAUGCAGCCGUGUGUAACGUUUCGUUACUCGUUACUAGAUGGCGCACCUGUUACUCGGUACCGAAUACAUACGGUUUGCUACAGCUUUAUUAUUCUCAGUAAGAGCUUUGUGCGCGGUGUUUAGUUUUUGGAAUAUGUUUUUUAUAAGUGCUGCGCAGCUCAGCGAACAAAGAGUCAGCCGGCGGCUACGCCGCGCCGUAAUAGCAGCUGACCGAGUACAAUGACCUUUCUCCGCGUACGGCGCGCUAUCGACAGAAAUUUUCCAUCAAUUUGCGGCCAAUUUUUUUUAUUUUUUACUGUGACGCAAUGUGUAUGUAGCUCGUAUUUGUUAUAAACGCUGCAGGUUGCGACUGUAUUUUAAUACACUUUAACGUAUUUCUUACACUUUACAUAUUUUUAAACUUUUAUUUUAUGCCUCAUUUUUUAAGGUUUCUGAAAAUCUGUAUGUACGACCGAAGUGUACGUACGAACCGGGGGCCGUACGAGCGAGAUUAAAAGACGUUGAAGAUGUAAAGUUGACGAAGUCUGAGAUAGCACGGCAGCACAAGAUAUCAGCGUCGACCCUGUCUACGAUAUGGAAACGGUAGGGACGCGAUUAUGAGUGCGGGGGUCAUUGAAAAUCGGAAAAUCGGAUUUAACGAAACAUCGAUUUAGAGUAAACAUUUUCGGUAACCAUAGCACUUCGUUAAAUCGGGGUUCUACUGUAUAUUAUUAUUAAGUAAUAUAUUACAUACAAAGCAGACAAUUGUAUUGUUGCUUUAAGAAUUUCAUGUUUGUAUUAACUAUGGUAAUUAAAACCCAACAACUUAUUCGUAGCAGA